GUGUCUCCCUCUCUCUGCCCCUCCCUCACUCAUGCUCUGUCUGUCUCUAUGUCAGAAAUAAAUAAACUUUAAAAAAAAGGAAUCAUUAUGGAAAAUGACUGUUUUCCAGUUUGUAGCUUCUGAUUACAUUUCUGUAAAAGUGACGUCAUUUAAUUAACUUGAAACGCUCUUCUGCCAGGGGAGCCAGCACAUGAACAGCUGUCUUCACUUUUUCUAUGUGCCCAAGAACAAUAGAAUGAAAUUGAUACACUGUGCGUGUCAGGUCAUUGUGUUCCGGCACAGUCUUUGGGAGCUGACACCGACACUUGAGCAGAUGUGCGUCUUCUGGUUUUUGUGGGAUCAGCGAUAGCAUGUGACUCCUCUAGUAGAGGACUAAGAUUUCCCUGGUUUUCCACUGCACCCAAUGGUGACCUGCUGACUUUGGGUAUCUCUCACGUUAAGACGACAGAGGCAGCUGCACCAAAUCUCCUCUUAUCAUUAUCCCAGAUGGAUGAGAGCUCUUCCCAGCUGCUGGUGUUCUGUCACUUUCUUUGGUGUGGGCUGUCCUGGAAGGUGUGUGAACUUCAAUGGGGCCACUCUCUGAAGCUGAGGCUGACCCUGAAGAGGCUGACAGAGGCUGUCUGUUCACUGUGCUGCCCACACCUGGCCAGCAAGUUCCACCUUGAAGAAGCAUCUCGACAUCAGAUAGCCUGCCAUACAUUGUGUCUAGACAUGAUUGGAAAAAAUGAGAUCGGUUACCUCCGGGCAUCCUCUGAUCUAACCAGAGUAAGAACUCCGUUCACUACAUAAGUGUCUCGUGUGCUACCAGACGUGUAGAAAGCCGAAAGCACCAAGUGGCACCGGUCAUUGCCGUGAGCUGCUUGGAAAGUCAACUCUGAGAUGGAGAUGAGCAUCCAGGAGUUUGUUGGGGCGUGUUCUUUGGACCACCCACUCUGGGAGGGGAGCGAGGGAGGUGGCCUGGGCAGAAGGAGAAGCUGGCCUGUGAGGGGGGCCUCAACACAAGCCAACCCAAGCUCCUGUGGGGAGCCUCGAAGCCGGGCCAGGCUUUUCUACCUCUCCGUAAACAAGUCAUUGAACCUGGGCACUCUGGGAAGAGGACGUGGCCGUGCUGAGAUGCCACUUUUCAUCUGAAGCAAGUCUGAGGAGGGCUGAUGGCUGGGGCUUUCUCCAGAAGCCCUCCUGGAAGCUUCAGGAAUAAUCCUGAUGGGUCUCUGAGGGGUACCUCACAGCAUCCCCACUGGAAGCGGACUGAGCCUGUCCCGGCUAACUUAGGCCACUGGUACUGUUGCCGCUGCUGCUGCCACCCCUGCUGUUACUUAAAGAAUCCUGAACAAAUGCUGAAAAGAGGUCACACCUGAGACAGCAGCUAUACACGCGGCUGUCCCUGAGCAAAUCAGGAGGCGGCCACCCUGUCUGUAGCAGAGUUCAAGGCAUGAUUUCCAGGAGAAAGGACGACUUACGUUUACCAGCCUUGAAAGAUGGUGAGACUGAGACACAGAGGAGCAGCCCCUUACGUGCUUCCACACAUCUGUUAUGUGAGGUAUCUAGAAUUCAACCUUGAUGACCCAACUCCAUAACCGUGCUCUCAACGAUUGCACUAAGUACUGUAAAGGCAAACAUGGGGAGCAGAACGUAUACUUCUGCCCAGGUUCUGUUUCAAGAUCAUGUGGCACUUAGUUCUGAUGACAAAUAAUCCUGCCAAUGCAGCCACAAUAACCUGUGUUAAGGCAGAAGAAAGAUUUGUAGGUGAGCUCCCCUGCAGCUUGUGGGGACUCUUCAUUUUGUUCUCGCACUGGAGUGGGUCCUGCAGAGGUAGAGGGGCUCUGGCAGUGACCUCACUGAGCACUCCCACAGGAGCCGACCCUGCAGUCCACAGCCACACUUCCCUGGCACCUGUGGAGAAGGUCGCCUUGGGCUUGGUCACAGCCUAGUUAGGUAGUCAGGGUCACAAGGCUGCGAGGUGAGCAGCAAAGACAGCCUAGGCAGAGGCGUUUCAUUCCAUAUAGAAUCUUCAGGGUCCGCCACAGGACCUGUCUCCUCACCAGCCAUCAAGAAAUGUCUGGUGAAGGAGCUAGAAGGAAAAGCUAUGAAGCUGGUUUGACUGGCUUUAUGAAACUGCAUCCCUCUGCUGUUAGAAUGAUUCGAAUGCCAUGCGUAACAAAGCUCUGAUUCCCUUGCUUUCCUCCUCUUUGGAACCAUUUUAGUCUUCAGAACCUGCUGUAAGCACGCUCGUCAACAGAACUGCACAUGCAUGGGGCUCCUGCCAAAGCGUGUGUUUGUGGCGACACAGAUUCCGUUGUGACUGAGUCGCGUUAACUUCCUGCAUCCGAAAGCAGGGGCAGUCAAUUAAAACCCUGAUUUAUUUACACAUCCCCUCUCUUUCUUUCAAUUGAAUAUCUUGUUCAGAAGAAUUCUGUUAAUAUGAUUUAUCACAAUAAACAGCAUGGUUCCUGCUUUAAUUGAUUCAUCUUUUUCUCCAUCUAAAAUGUUUCCUAUAUCUCUAUUCUGCAUCAACUUUUAGUGUCCUUUUCACAACCCCCCCCCCCCGCUCCAUAUCUUCACUGACUUUGAUCAUGUCUACAGAGUCUAGAUUUUUUAUAUAGUCUACAUCUUAAAUCACUCAUUUUCUCAUUUUUAAAGUGCUGAUUAUAAUCAUCCCUUAAAUUUACUGAAAUUAGCAUGAGUUUUUAAACCAUUAGUCAAAAAAGAAGAGGCUUUUUUAAAAGAAACUCCCUGCUGUUCUUUGUGGAUGAAACAGUUGACAUUUUGUUAAGAGAUUUUUAUCUGACUUCAAUUCUGUAGCUUUAAUGUAUUCUUCACAGUUAUAAAUGGAGCGGUUUGUCCUAAAUGGAAGUGUAUCUAUAUAAGCAUAGUUAUAUCCAGUCUUUAAAAUGGAUCAUUUCAUUUCACACAUGCUAUAGAAUCUUGAAUUUCACCUUUACUCAUCUCAAUUUCUUUACUAAAAACGACUCUGUUGCUCCAAAUUCCUCUAUCAAUGGAUUGGAUAUAUCAAAUUGUAGUAGUAAUUGUUCGUAAGUACAUAUUUUAUAACAUGUACUAAUGGAAUAAUAAAAUAUA